rnacentral:misc_RNA from 1 species
AGCAUUCGUCUUCUGGUACGGGGCCAUAGCUCAGCUGGGAGAGCGCGUGCUUUGCAAGCAUGAGGUCGUCGGUUCGAUCCCGUCUGGCUCCACCAGAUGGUUUGAUCACCAACGGCGUUACCGUCGUCCGCGAAACAUCACUUCGCACUCAUUGGUCCGGAUGGACGGUGACGUGCGUGUUUUCUGACAUCGUAAAGAGGAGAUCGAUCCGAGUUUGGAUCAAGCGAAGCAAUUCGCCUGAACCAUUCAUUAUCUCCGGGAUCAUUUCGGCGCUCGCUUUCAAUCGUGAGAUUGGAUGCGGGUUGUAAAUGAUCCCUUUUAGCGAAGCUUGACCGCCUCGCUAUCGGGCCGAUCUUACGAAGCAAGCUGGUCUUUCUAGUCAAUGUCCGGCUGCGCGAUCGCAUUCAUCGAGGAUGCGCGCCUUCAGUGGCAAUUGUGCAGACAACAUUCUGCCGAGUGUGUGGACAUUGAUAAUGAGAGCAAUCAAGUGCCUUAAGGGUGUUCGGUGGAUGCCUUGGCGCUGAGAGGCGAUGAAGGACGUGCUACGCUGCGAUAAGCCGU